rnacentral:misc_RNA from 1 species
GAUGAAGAACGUAGCGAAAUGCGAUAAGUAAUGUGAAUUGCAGAAUUCAGUGAAUCAUCGAAUCUUUGAACGCACAUUGCGCCCCUUGGUAUUCCGAGGGGCAUGCCUGUUCGAGCGUCAUUAUAACCCCUCAAGCUCAGCUUGGUGUUGGGGCCUGCUGCACUGGCAGCCCUUAAAAUCAGUGGCGGCGCCAUCUGGCUCUAAGCGUAGUAAUUCUUCUCGCUAUGGAGUCCUGGUGGAUGCUUGCCAUCAACCCCCAAUUUUUCUAUGGUUGACCUCGGAUCAGGUAGGGAUACCCGCUGAACUUAAGCAUAUCAAGAGGA